GGAUAAUCAAGAGAAACCUGUGUUUAUCGAGCUUACCAAUUUUUCGUAAAUAUGUUGUUUCCUUUUGUAUAAAGUGUUUUGUGUAGUGUGUACCUAUUUCUACUGCCGCUAUAACAAUAAAUAAACAUUUCAAAAUGGUUCCCAU